AUAAAUGUUUAGGGAAUGUUAAAAUGUUUGGAACAGUGAGCUUAAUCGUAUUAAAUCAAAAUAGAACGAAUUUAAUCCAAUUAAAAUAUGUUGAGUCGAAUUGUAUCGAAGCGACUUAGAUUGAAUCAAAUCAUAUCGAAUCAUAACAUCUCAAAUUGAUUCGCAUUGUGAUGAAUUGCUCCGACUUGAAUUUUAUCGAAUUAAAUCAAUACUAGUUUGAAUCACACUGAUUUGAUUACACCAAAUUGACUCGUGUCAAUUUGAAUUACGUCGAAUUGAAUCACAUUGUUCAAUGGUUAAGAGCAUUCGUUUACAUUCGCUUGUUCACGUUUGAGCUUUAAUGCAGUACGAGCACUCGCUAGCGUAGUGUAAACGCACCCUAACAGACCCUAGUACAUGCAUAAGUACACGAUGUCACGUUAUAUUUCAAUUAUUCUUAUCAACUAAUAAAUAAUACAAAAAUCACCCUUUUAUUUUACCAUUCCCAAGUGUUAAAGAACGAGAGAAAUUAAAAUUUGUUUAAAUAUAUCUCUUGAACGGUAAGGGUAGUAAAUUAAAAUUAAUCGCUGUUUCUUAUUUUGAGUAUGUUAAUUCGUUAUUGGAGAGAAUACAUAGUUAACAAUUUAGUUACAAAUUAUUUGACAAGCGGAAAAACAGCGAGUCUCCGUUCUAUGUUCUAUAUUCUAUGGGAGUUGGUCGAACGAUCGAAAAGCUUGGUCAGUUGUAGCGCCGACUCGGCUCGAAGUUGUGUAGUUUAAAGGCACGUCACUGUACAAACUAGAAGCACGUUUUUUUUCCUAUUAAGUAACGUAGAGACAGUAAUAUUCGGAAAAAAUAACUCUUGCGACAAUGCCGCGUCAACCAGCACAUUGGAGAAAAUUCGUAUUCGUCUAUAUUUUCCACUUAUUUUCAUAUGCAACUUCCACGGUGCAUGUACAACUGAUAGCACCGCGCUACGUAACCUACGGGAGCACAGCGGUUCUGCAUUGCAAUCAUAGUGUCCCAGAUGCUUCCUUGCAUAAAGUCGAGUUCAUGAAGGAUGACAAGACGAUAUUACGAUACAUAAAGGAUAGGAAACCACCGUUCCUUGACUUGUGGGUAGACGGUGCAAAUAUGGAGUACAUGGAAAAUGGCACGACAAUCAAAUUAAAGGACGUCCGUUACGAGGCGUCUGCAUCGUAUUCCUGUCUGGUAUCAAUGACGACUCCUAUUUAUACCCAGGCUUCCGAACCCGUUCAUAUGAAAGUUAUAGUACCACAGACUGAAAACCCGAAAAUCACAUUCGAGAAAAGCAUGUACGUGGUCGGCGAAAAUUUAGAGGCGAAUUGCACCUCCUCGGCUGCGCAUCCAGUUCCUCACUUGACUUGGUAUAUAAACGGGAAGGAGGUGGAUAUUAGCCUGGUAAAUCAUUAUCCUCUCACGCAUCACAAGGACCAAUUGAUGUCCGCGACGGCAAAACUAAUGAUAGAGGUUUCCGCGUUGCAUGCAGGGGAAAAUGGAUAUCUAGAGAUCAGCUGUUAUUCCACCAUUCCGGAUUACCCCUUAAACCACGAGCAGUAUGCUGAUGUCAGGAAGGAAACGGUUUCGGAAAGGUGGCACCUAUCUUCGUUUCGCUGAAGUUCCACUAAUUCCAACGGACACAUGCCCCGUGAAGGGUGUAAAUCCAGAGCUGCAUUUAUGUGCAGGCUGGGCGGAAGGCGGAAGAGAUGCUUGUCAAGUUUGGUGACAGUGGUGGGCCAUUAAUUUGUGAUAAGACACAGGUAGGAAUAGUAUCCUGGGGACAUGGAUGUGCUCGUCCUAACUCUCCUGGCG
rnacentral:misc_RNA from 1 species